UUCUCGAUAAGUGAUGUUGUGAUUAUUGC
rnacentral:sRNA from 1 species